GUUGGGGAUCCUAUGGAGAGUCUGACUCUGGAACCGGUGCUACAGACAGACGUUGUUAAAGCUGGUCAAUCCAAGUUUCUGCAGCCUCUGUGGAGGGGAACAUGCCGGCUGACAGCCUCUACUAACAGGUUGGGGCUCCCUCCUGCUGCUCCUGCCCUCCCAGCCACCAGCUCAUUGGAGCAAGACCAGGGGAAGAAAGUGGAUCUGAGGUUGAAGGAGAGGUGGACCGGAGUACAUUUCUCCAGUAGAACUUUGUCAUCUCCUCCAGUGGUUGGUUAUCUCAUUCUUUAUGCAGAGACAGCUGCUAUUACUUGGGAAGGGAGCUUAUUAAAUUUUUCUCAAUAUUGUAUGCAAUGAAUCCACAUUCCCAUCAUUAGCUAUCAUCUGAAGUUCAAGGCAAUCCCUAGCCCUCACCAUUCCCAUUAAAAGGAAAAAAAAAAAACAAAAAACAACAACAACAACAACAACAAAAAACAACCAAGACCAAGGCUUGUUUUUUUAUAUUGUUCUGUCUGAAAGAAGACUCGUACCAUUCUUUCCCUUACAGAAUAGGUUUAAUUUUACAAUGAUUAUUUAAAGCAUGAAUUUCCUGAAAUGGAGUAACUUGAAAGCAAUGGGCAUACACAGGCUUCUUACAUGCUUGAGUGAAAAAAAAAUCUGGGUCUUAUGUCAAUGAUUUAUUGCUGUUUUGACAAUGUGCUAUCUUCCACUGAAAUGUUUUUGUAAAAAUGGGCCCAUGCAUAAUCCGGACCUGAAGUUUUAUUG
rnacentral:lncRNA from 1 species